rnacentral:misc_RNA from 1 species
GAUGACGAACGUAGCGAAAUGCGAUAAGUAAUGUGAAUUGCAGAAUUCAGUGAAUCAUCGAAUCUUUGAACGCACAUUGCGCCCGCCAGUAUUCUGGCGGGCAUGCCUGUUCGAGCGUCAUUUCAACCAUCAAGCCCCGGGCUUGUGUUGGGGACCUGCGGCUGCCGCAGGCCCUGAAAAGCAGUGGCGGGCUCGCUGUCACACCGAGCGUAGUAGCAUACAUCUCGCUCUGGGCGUGCUGCGGGUUCCGGCCGUUAAACCACCUUUUAACCCAAGGUUGACCUCGGAUCAGGUAGGAAGACCCGCUGAACUUAAGCAUAUCAAUAAGCGGAGGA